rnacentral:rRNA from 1 species
GACAGAGGGUGCAAACGUUGUUCGGAAUUACUGGGCGUAAAGCGCGUGUAGGCGGCCCUGCAAGUCGGGUGUGAAAUCCCACGGCUCAACCGUGGAAGUGCACUCGAAACUGCAGGGCUAGAGUCCUGGAGAGGAAGGUGGAAUGCUUGGUGUAGAGGUGAAAUUCGUAGAUAUCAAGCGGAACACCGGUGGCGAAGGCGGCCUUCUGGACAGUGACUGGACGCUGAGACGGCGAAAGCGUGGGGAGCAA